rnacentral:rRNA from 1 species
CCUACGGGGGGCUGCAGUGAGGAAUAUUGGUCAAUGGACGAGAGUCUGAACCAGCCAAGUAGCGUGAAGGAUGACUGCCCUAUGGGUUGUAAACUUCUUUUAUAUGGGAAUAAAAUGUUCCACGUGUGGGAUUUUGUAUGUACCAUAUGAAUAAGGAUCGGCUAACUCCGUGCCAGCAGCCGCGGUAAUACGGAGGAUCCGAGCGUUAUCCGGAUUUAUUGGGUUUAAAGGGUGCGUAGGUGGAUUGUUAAGUCAGUGGUGAAAGCUUGCGGCUCAACCGUAAAAUUGCAGUUGAUACUGGCAGUCUUGAGUAUAGUAGAGGUAGGCGGAAUGCAUGGUGUAGCGGUGAAAUGCUUAGAUAUCACGAAGAACACCGAUUGCGAAGGCAGUUCACUGGACUGCAACUGACACUGAGGCUCGAAAGUGUGGGGAUCAAACAGGAUUAGAUACCCCUGUAGUC